rnacentral:rRNA from 1 species
GCAUAACGCGAAGAACCUUACCAAGGCUUGACAUGCAUCUCUAAGCGCGUGAAAGCGCGUGACCCUUCGGGGGAUUUGCACAGGUGCUGCAUGGCCGUCGUCAGCUCGUGUCGUGAGAUGUUGGGUUAAGUCCCGCAACGAGCGCAACCCUUGUGACUAGUUGCCAGCACGUUAAGGUGGGAACUCUAGUCAGACUGCCCAGAUCAACUGGGAGGAAGGUGGGGACGACGUCAGGUCAGUAUGGCCCUUACGCCUUGGGCUGCACACGUACUACAAUGCCCAGUACAAUGAGAACCGAGACCGCGAGGUGGAGGAAAUCUGCAAAACUGGGCCCAGUUCGGAUUGGAGGCUGCAACUCGCCUCCAUGAAGUUGGAAUCGCUAGUAAUGGCGCAUCAUCUACGGCGCCGUGAAUACGUUCCCGGGUCUUGUACACACCG